ACCGGCGCACGGGUGAGUAACACGUAUCCAACCUGCCGACAACACUGGGAUAGCCUUUCGAAAGAAAGAUUAAUACCGGAUGGCAUAGUNUUCCCGCAUGGGAUNAUUAUUAAAGAAUUUCGGUUGUCGAUGGGGAUGCGUUCCAUUAGGCAGUUGGCGGGGUAACGGCCCACCAAACCUACGAUGGAUAGGGGUUCUGAGAGGAAGGUCCCCCACAUUGGAACUGAGACACGGUCCAAACUCCUACGGGAGGCAGCAGUGAGGAAUAUUGGUCAAUGGACGAGAGUCUGAACCAGCCAAGUAGCGUGAAGGAUGACUGCCCUAUGGGUUGUAAACUUCUUUUAUACGGGAAUAAAGUGCANGACGUGUGGCUUUUUGUAUGUACCGUAUGAAUAAGGAUCGGCUAACUCCGUGCCAGCAGCCGCGGUAAUACGGAGGAUCCGAGCGUUAUCCGGAUUUAUUGGGUUUAAAGGGAGCGUAGGCGGGUUGUUAAGUCAGUUGUGAAAGUUUGCGGCUCAACCGUAAAAUUGCAGUUGAUACUGGCGACCUUGAGUGCAACAGAGGUAGGCGGAAUUCGUGGUGUAGCGGUGAAAUGCUUAGAUAUCACGAAGAACUCCGAUUGCGAAGGCAGCUUACUGGAUUGUAACUGACGCUGAUGCUCGAAAGUGUGGGUAUCAAACAGGAUUAGAUACCCUGGUAGUCCACACAGUAAACGAUGAAUACUCGCUGUUGGCGAUAUACAGUCAGCGGCCAAGCGAAAGCAUUAAGUAUUCCACCUGGGGAGUACGCCGGCAACGGUGAAACUCAAAGGAAUUGACGGGGGCCCGCACAAGCGGAGGAACAUGUGGUUUAAUUCGAUGAUACGCGAGGAACCUUACCCGGGCUUAAAUUGCAACUGACUGAAUCGGAAACGGUUCUUUCNUUCGGACAGUUGUGAAGGUGCUGCAUGGUUGUCGUCAGCUCGUGCCGUGAGGUGUCGGCUUAAGUGCCAUAACGAGCGCAACCCUUACGGGUAGUUACCAUCAGGUUAUGCUGGGGACUCUACCCGGACUGCCGUCGUAAGAUGUGAGGAAGGUGGGGAUGACGUCAAAUCAGCACGGCCCUUACGUCCGGGGCUACACACGUGUUACAAUGGGGGGUACAGAAGGCAGCUACACGGC
rnacentral:rRNA from 1 species